rnacentral:rRNA from 1 species
GCAUAUCAAUAAGCGGAGGAAAAGAAACUAACCAGGAUUCCCCUAGUAACGGCGAGUGAAGCGGGAAAAGCUCAAAUUUUAAAUCUGGCUAACUUUGUUGGUCCGAGUUGUAAUUUGAAGAAAUGUUUUCAAGUCAUUUGUUCGAAUCUAAGUUCCUUGGAAUAGGACAUCAAAGAGGGUGAGAAUCCCGUCUAGAUUUGAACAAUUGACAAUACGUUAACUUUUCUAAGAGUCGAGUUGUUUGGGAUUGCAGCUCCAAAUGGGUGGUAAAUUCCAUCUAAGGCUAAAUAUAGACGAGAGACCGAUAGCGAACAAGUACCGUGAGGGAAAGAUGAAAAGAACUUUGAAAAGAGAGUUAAAUAGUACGUGAAAUUGUUGAAAGGGAAACGAUUAAAGUCAGUCGUGCCGGCGAAAAAUCAGCUUACAAGAUAUUGUGAGUGUACUUUUUCGCAAGGCAGGUUAGCAUCGGUUUUGGUAGUGUUAAAAUGACUGCAGGAAGGUAGCUCCUUCGGGAGUGUUAUAGCCUGUUCUAGAUGACAUUCUCAAGACCGAGGAUUGCAGCGAAUGCUUUGCUACGGAUCUGGUCUCUGUCGAGGGCUCGCUUGGCUUUGAGCUUGCUCAGGUCUAGUUAGCUUCUUUACAACAGGUCAGAAUCCGAUAAAUUCGCUAAGGAUGCUGACGUAAUGGCUUUAAACGAC